AGAGUUUGAUCCUGGCUCAGAACGUACGCUGGCGGCACGCCUAACACAUGCAAGUCGAACGAAGUAGCAAUACUUAGUGGCAGACGGGUGAGUAACAUGUAGGUAUCUGCCCUUUGGCCUGGAAUAACACGAGGAAACUUGUGCUGAUACCGGAUAAGUCUUUACGGAGAAAGCUUUAUGCACCAUUGGAUGAGCCUGCACUUGAUUAGUUUGUUGGUGGGGUAAUGGCCUACCAAGACUGUGAUCAAUAGCUGAUUUGAGAGGAUGAUCAGCCACAUUGGGACUGAGACACGGCCCAAACUCCUACGGGAGGCAGCAGUGGGGAAUCUUGCACAAUGGAGGAAACUCUGAUGCAGCGAUGCCGCGUGAGUGAAGAAGGCCCUUGGGUUGUAAAGCUCUUUCGUCGGGGAAGAAAAUGACUGUACCCGAAUAAGAAGGUCCGGCUAACUUCGUGCCAGCAGCCGCGGUAAU
rnacentral:rRNA from 1 species